AUUGAACGCUGGCGGCAAGCCUAACACAUGCAAGUCGAACGAGUGGCGGACGGGUGAGUAAUGUCUGGGAAACUGCCUGAUGGCGGGGGAUAACUACUGGAACAGGUAGCUAAUAACACAUACAAUCCGAUGUGCCCAGAUUGGAUUAGCUAGUAGGUGGGGUAAAGGCUCACCUAGGCGACGAUCCCUAGACGGUCUUAGAGGAGGACCCGCCACACUGGACCUGAGACACGGUCCAGUCUCCUACGGUAGGCAGCAGUGGGGAAGAUUGCACAAUGGGCGCAAGCCUGAUGCAUCCAUGCCGCGUGUGUGAAGAAGGUUUUCGGAUUGUAAAGCACUUUAAGUUGGGAGGCGUUACCAACAGAAUAAGCACCGGCUAACUUCGUGCCAGCAGCCGCGGUAAUAC
rnacentral:rRNA from 1 species